CCAUGCCGCGUGGGUGAUGAAGGCCUAGGUUGUAAGCCUUCGGCGGGAAGAUAAUGACGGUACCCGCAGAAGAAGCCCGGCUAACUUCGUGC
rnacentral:rRNA from 1 species